CCUUGCUACACUGAAGCUAUGAUAACCCUCAUUUUUAUAAAUCUAUACCUUACUGGAUGCACAUACAUAGUCAUGAAGUAUCAGUUACACUCCUGAUAAAAUACUUUAAAUAUUGAUUAUAAAAUAACUUAUGUUAACAAUAAGUAUAUUGCUAUUUCAUGCAUAUGGUAUUGUUUGUUUCAUUUGAAUUACUGUAUCUCUAAUUCCUUCCCCAUUUUUGUUUUAUUCUCUUAACAGCCAUUGUUCAGCUUGGUCUGACCCACAAAUAAGAGAGGCUUUGCUAAUUUAGCUUUAAUGGCACUCCCAACUCAGCAAAAUUCUUGGCUCCUGAGGAGGAAGGAGGGCUCUUUGGAGCGUGGAACCCUGAACCUGGAGGACUUAUGGGAGACCUGCAUCUUCUCCUUGGCAAUAAUCUGCAUUUUUCAGACUCCCCUGAGGGGAUGAGGGCCCCAUCCAUGGCACACAAACACCUUCUGUGGCAUCUGCCUUGAGAGCUGAUAUGUGGUGGGUGCCAUACAAACAGAUCUCAGUGAUACAGAUAUAAUCCUGUCUAGGAGUACCAGCUCUAGAAGGUAUGGGGAUGAACUCCGCCUGCAGUGUGAAUUUAUUUAUUUUUUUUAU
rnacentral:lncRNA from 1 species